AACAGACUUAGUCCUAACCUUACAGUUAAUUCUUGCCAAACAUAUACAUGCAAGUAUCCGCACUCCAGUGUAAAUGCCCUUACCCCCUGCUCACUGAGGCAGGGAAGAGGAGCAGGCAUCAGGCACACCAACGUAGCCCAAAACGCCUUGCUCAGCCACACCCCCACGGGUAUUCAGCAGUAAUUAACAUUAAGCAAUGAGUGAAAACUCGACUUAGUUAUGGCAACCCCACAGGGCUGGUAAAUCUUGUGCCAGCCACCGCGGUCAUACAAGAAGCCCAAAUUAACCGUCACCCGGCGUAAAGAGUGGUAACUUACUAUUAUCUAACUAGGAUCAAAGUACAACUAAGCUGUCAUAAGCCCAUGAUGUACCUAAAACCACCCUAAAAACGAUCCUAGCACUAACGAUCAACUAAACACCACGAAAGCCAAGACACAAACUGGGAUUAGAUACCCCACUAUGCUUGGCCCUAAAUCUAGAUACUUCUUCCCCACUAAAGUAUCCGCCUGAGAACUACGAGCACAAACGCUUAAAACUCUAAGGACUUGGCGGUGCUCCAAACCCACCUAGAGGAGCCUGUUCUGUAAUCGAUAACCCACGAUAUACCCAACCCCUCCUUGCCUAAAGCAGCCUACAUACCGCCGUCCCCAGCUCACCUGCCCUGAUAGUCUCAAUAGUGAGCACAAUAGCACCUCGCUAGUAAGACAGGUCAAGGUAUAGCCCAUGGAGGGGAAGAAAUGGGCUACAUUUUCUAAAAUAGAAAAUCCAACGAAAAGGGGCCUGAAAUACCCCCUAGAAGGAGGAUUUAGUAGUAAAGGGAGAUAAGAAUGCCCCCUUAAACUCGGCCCUGGAGCACGUACAUACCGCCCGUCACCCUCUUCACAGCCCCCAACACCUGUAACUAACACGCCCACCGGGCCAAAGACGAGGUAAGUCGUAACAAGGUAAGUGUACCGGAAGGUGCACUUAGCACCAA
rnacentral:rRNA from 1 species